rnacentral:rRNA from 1 species
CAGCGCCGCGGGAAUACGAAGGGGGCUAGCGUUGUUCGGAAUUACUGGGCGUAAAGCGCACGUAGGCGGAUAUUUAAGUCAGGGGUGAAAUCCCAGAGCUCAACUCUGGAACUGCCUUUGAUACUGGGUAUCUUGAGUAUGGAAGAGGUGAGUGGAAUUCCGAGUGUAGAGGUGAAAUUCGUAGAUAUUCGGAGGAACACCAGUGGCGAAGGCGGCUCACUGGUUCAUUACUGACGCUGAGGUGCGAAAGCGUGGGGAGCAAACAGGAUUAGAUACCCGCGUAGUCCCUGUCUCUUAUACC